GGGAAAACUCACCCGGUCCGGACACUAUUAGGACUGACAGAUUGAAAGCUCUUUCUCGAUUUGGUGGUUGGUGGUGCAUGGCCGUUCUUAGUUGGUGGAGUGAUUUGUCUGGUUUAUUCCGAUAACGAGCGAGACUCUAGCCUGCUAAAUAGUCGACGAAUCUUCGGGUUCGUAUAACUUCUUAGAGGGAUAAGCGGUGUUUAGCCGCACGAGAUUGAGCGAUAACAGGUCUGUGAUGCCCUUAGAUGUCCGGGGCUGCACGCGUGCUACACUGGUGGAGUCAGCGGGUUUUUCCUAUGCCGAAAGGUAUCGGUAAACCGUUGAACUUCUUCCAUGUCCGGGAUAGGGUAUUGUAAUUAUUACCCUUAAACGAGGAAUGCCUAGUAAGUGUGAGUCAUCAGCUCACGUUGAUUACGUCCCUGCCCUUUGUACACACCGCCCGUCGCUAUCCGGGACUGAACUGAUUCGAGAAGAGUGGGGACUGUGGCUGCGAGGUUUUACCACUUCGCAGUUGCGGAAACCAUUUUUAUCGCAUUGGUUUGAACCGGGUAAAAGUCGUAACAAGGUAGCUGUAGGUGAACCUGCAGCUGGAUCAUCG
rnacentral:ncRNA from 1 species